rnacentral:rRNA from 1 species
AGUGAACGCUGGCGGCGUGCUUAACACAUGCAAGUCGAACGAGAACGGAAUAUAGCUUGCUAUAUUUGUCAGCUAAGUGGCGCACGGGUGAGUAAUGUAUAGAUAACCUGCCCUUAAGAAAGGAAUAACAGUUGGAAACGACUGCUAAUGCCCUAUAUGCCUUUAAUACAUAAGUAUGAAAGGGAAACGCUUUAGUGCUUAAGGAUGGGUCUGUAUGGUAUCAGCUUGUUGGUGAGGUAAUGGCUCACCAAGGCUAUGACGCCUAACUGGUUUGAGAGGAUGAUCAGUCACACUGGAACUGAGACACGGUCCAGACUCCUACGGGAGGCAGCAGUGGGGAAUAUUGCACAAUGGACGAAAGUCUGAUGCAGCAACGCCGCGUGGAGGAUGACACAUUUCGGUGCGUAAACUCCUUUUAUAUAGGAAGAAAAUGACGGUACUAUAUGAAUAAGCACCGGCUAACUCCGCGCCAGCCGCCGCCGUA